rnacentral:RNase_P_RNA from 1 species
GCGGAUGGCCGGAUGGCCGCGGGAGCGAUCCCGAGGAAAGUCCGGACUCCACAAGGCGACGGUGCCGGGUAACCCCCGGCCGGGGUCGGCGGGGCAACCCGCCGUGAACCCGAGGGAAAGCGCCACAGAAAACAGACCGCCCGCGCAAGCGGGUCAGGGUGAAACGGUGGGGUAAGAGCCCACCGCGGGCCGGGCAACCGGGCCGGCACGGCAAGCCCCACCGGGAGCAAUGCCGAAUAGGGAUCCCGCGCCCCCGUGCGGGGACAGGGCGCCUUGCCCCAGGGAUCCGGGUAGGCAGCUUGAGGUGCCGGGCAACCGGCAUCCGAGAGGAAUGGCCAUCUCCGGCGGGUCCGCCCACCGACGACAGAAUCCGGCUUACAGGCCGUCCGCGCAU